rnacentral:rRNA from 1 species
UCAUGUUAAUAGGGUGGGAUGCAAGCUUUUAUUUUUAUUUUUGGGAAGUAAACCCCACGCAGUGUGUUUUGUUAAGUUGGAAGAGAAAUCCCCGCGCUCCACGGGGGGACCUUCAUUAGAAACUGGCAGGCUUGAGUCUAGUAGAGGGGGGUAGAACUUCCAGGUGUAGCGGUAAAAUGCGUAGAUAUGUGGAGGAACACCGGUGGAGAAGGCGGCCUCUUGGACAAAGACUGACGCUCAGGUGAGAAAGCGUGGGGAGCAAACAGGAUUAGAUCCCCUGGUAUUCCCCGCCGUAAACGAUGUCGACUAGGAGGUUGCGCCCUUGAGGCGUGGCUUCCGGAGCUAACGCAUUAAGUCGUCCGCCUGGGGAGUACGGCCGCAAGGUUAAAACUCAAAUGAAUUGACGGGGGCCCGCACAAGCGGUGGAGCAUGUGGUUUAAUUCGAUGCAACGCGAAGAACCUUACCUACUCUUGACAUCCAGAGAACUUAGCAGAGAUGGUUUGGUGCCUUCGGGAACUAUGAGACAGGUGCUGCAUGGCUGUUGUCAGCUCGUGUUGUGAAAUGUUGGGUUAAGUCCCGCAACGAGCGCAACCCUUAUCCUUUGUUGCCAGCGGUUAGGCCGGGAACUCAAAGGAGACUGCCAGUGAUAAACUGGAGGAAGGUGGGGAUGACGUCAAGUCAUCAUGGCCCUUACGAGUAGGGCUACACACGUGCUACAAUGGCAUAUACAAAGAGAAGCGACCUCGCGAGAGCAAGCGGACCUCAUAAAGUAUGUCGUAGUCCGGAUUGGAGUCUGCAACUCGACUCCAUGAAGUCGGAAUCGCUAGUAAUCGUGGAUCAGAAUGCCACGG